AUACGUAGGGGGCGAGCGUUGUCCGGAAUUAUUGGGCGUAAAGCGCGCGCAGGCGGUUCUUUAAGUCUUGUGUUUAAUCCCGGGGCUCAACCUCGGUACGCAUGGGAAACUGGGGGACUGGAGUGCAGGAGAGGGAAGCGGAAUUCCACGUGUAGCGGUGAUAUGCGUAGAUAUGUGGAGGAACACCAGUGGCGAAGGCGGCUUCCUGGCCUGUAACUGACGCUGAGGCGCGAAAGCGUGGGGAGCAAACAGGAUUAGAUACCCUGGUAGUCCACGCCGUAAACGAUGAGUGCUAGGUGUCGGGGGUGUCAUGCCCUCGGUGCCGAAGUUAACACAGUAAGCACUCCGCCUGGGGAGUACGGUCGCAAGGCUGAA
rnacentral:rRNA from 1 species